GCCGGGCGCGGUGGCUCACGCCUGUAAUCCCAGCACUUCGGGAGGCCGAGGUGGGCGGAUCACCUGAGGUCGGGAGUUCGAGACUAGCCUGACCAACAUGGAGAAACCCCAUCUCUA
rnacentral:SRP_RNA from 1 species